rnacentral:rRNA from 1 species
GGAUUAGAUACCCUGGUAGUCCACGCCGUAAACGAUGAUUACUCGAUAUUGGCGAUACACAGUCAGUGUCUAAGCGAAAGUGAUAAGUAAUCCACCUGGGGAGUACGGUCGCAAGAUUGAAACUCAAAGGAAUUGACGGGGGCCCGCACAAGCGGUGGAGCAUGUGGUUUAAUUCGAUGAUACGCGAGGAACCUUACCAGGGCUUAAAUGCAUAAUGACGGAUCUGGAAACAGAUCUUUCUUCGGACAGAAUGCAAGGUGCUGCAUGGCUGUCGUCAGCUCGUGCCG